ensembl:lncRNA
AUGAAAACCUGUAAAAUUUUAAAAGAACAGAAAGAUUUUGACUAUAAUAAAAUUUCCCCUUGUUUUUCAGGCUGUGAUAGAGCUGCUAAAAAGAAAGAGCAAAAAACACAUAACUAAAAAGAUACGUAAACACUACAAGUUUCCUCCUUCCCCGUAUUAAUUGUACUACAAAUUGAAUCUCAUUGUCCGUACUCAAGCAUUCAAAUUGAUUGUAGUUUUGUCUUACUAGUAGGAAAGACUACAACUUGACAAUACCUGUCAAGUAACAUCUUUUUGAAACAGGAGGUGAGCUCUGCCAUUUCAAUUUGUUGCUUCUUAGUCCAUGUAUCAGGAAGAAAAGCUAGUCAGUGCACAUAGACUGAAAUGAUAAAACCACUGAAAUCCAAAACAGAUUCAAGAUGUUUGGAAAAAGCUUAAAGGCAAGUAUUGUGGUAAGUGCCUUAACUGCAGGGAGAACGUGCUAAAUGGUAAUGUGACAAAAGUAGUUAAGAACAUCCUGUGACUAUUAUUGCUUGAGAAGACUUAGGAUCCCGGUCAUUCCUUAUUCAUAUCAUAAGAAGUCACUGGAGCUACUCUGCCUUACUGAUGGUGUUACUAAGAGGAGAACAUCAGUCCCAACCUUUACCUUCCUUUACAUUAUGAUCCGAGUUUUCCUUUAUCUUAUAUAUCUAGACAGUGAACUCACUUUUAUUGUUGGAAAUAGUUGUCGUUAGAAGAGUUGACUUGUGGAGAAGAUAUUUCAGGUAAUAUUCAUUGUACUGUUGUAAUAUUGCUUUUUAUUUUGAAGCCCGUCAUAACUUGUGAAUGGUCAAAGAAACUUUCCUAUCAUCCCUGUGCCAUACAUCCAUAUAAGCAUAUAAAUAUAGACAUUGUAUAUGUUUUUGAAAGAGCUUUUAGUGAUUGGCGAGGUCAGCACCAUCCAAACCAUCCAAGUUUGUUUUAGUCUAUUACUUCAAAUUAAUUUUUUAAGGCUAGAGCAUUAGAGAGUAUGUCUGCUGGGACUGCAGUUGGAAAGACAAGUCUGCAGGCUAGGCUAUGGAAUAAAAACAGCACAUAAGGAAAGGAAACUGCCUAAAGGAAACACACUUCUGUUUGAAUAGCAGGAAAGAGGUGAGAGGCAACCAGUAAAAAUACUGCUUGAUAAAAAAAGAGGAGAAGAAAUCAAAACUGAGGAAAAGAUACAGAUCCUCUAUAAUAUCCUGAACUUAAACUGAGGCUUCCCAGAAAAUUUCCAGAUUAUCUUCUGAAAGCAAAAUAGCUCUAUUCAUAGAACAGAACAGUAGAAAAAAUAUGACAACUGGGAGACCAUCAUUAGUAUUCUGAGACUGUGUUUGCUUGAUUAUUUUCCUUGUCCCUUUGAUUUCCAGACUUUGAACGCUCAAUGUCACAUGAGUCAGGUACAGUGAAAACAGGUAGCAUGCAAUAUUCCUGAAUAAAGUACUUCCAAUAGAAAUAUCUGUCCUUGCCAGCUGCCUAAGCCUCAGACUUUGUAUGAUGUCUGUUCCAGUUCCUCAUACUUGCUUUGUGGGUGUUUCCAUGGCCUCACCUGCCUCCAGAGGCCCCUAGGAAACCCCAGUCCGAAUCCUAAUGUAAUACUGGGAACAAAGAACAGUGCAAACAUUGAAGAGAUUUGUAUUUAUCUAUCUCCCAAACUGGGUCCAACAGACUAUCAUGAGCUCCAGUUUUUGGACUUUGAUGCAGGCAAAAGGAUCUGCUUUUUGCUUCAGAUCCCUUUCCUUUAUAUUCCUCUGUGCAGGGCACAUUACCUAUAAUUCUCCAGGUUUUGCUCUGAUCUGAGAUCUUCCACUUUCAAAUUUAUUCCUUCAUCCCAAUGCUAAUCUUGUUUUACAUCUCUAAUAAAUAUAUUAUUAAUUUAGCUAGUAUACACCACACAUUUAAUGUGUAAUACUAAAAAAAACACCGACUAAAUAUGACUGAACAAUAGUUAAUGUGACCCUAUCAACUCUCUUCCAGAGUAAAGAGAGGCAGCUUGAACUUACACAGCCAAAAAUGAAGUACAAAAUAAAACAUCAUUGGAAUGAAUAGGAGUUGGUAAGGCUCCUAUUUUAAUCUAACAAAGAAAUCCUCCCAGAGAAAUUGAAUCUGUGAAAGUGCAUCUAUUCUCUGUCAUGUAAUUCAUUGUGGAAGAAUCAAACGAACUGUGCACCUGCUCAGAGUAGGUACGUGCAUACAUGCAUGUGUGUAGUCACUCUAAAUGCUUUAACUGUACACUACUCUCUUUCUCUCCCAAAGGUAAAAUGGGAAUCAUUUGAAUAGUUUGCUGUCAAUUGAGUGGUCUAAAUGCUUAAAUCCUUCUCUGCAAACUGACUACGUUUAGAACUGGACAUAUAUAAUUUUUCCUAAAGUGC